rnacentral:rRNA from 1 species
CCUACGGGCGGCUGCAGUGGGGAAUAUUGGUCAAUGGGCGGGAGCCUGAACCAGCCAAGUCGCGUGAAGGAAGAAGGUACUGAGUAUUGUAAACUUCUUUUGUCGGGGAACAAAGGCGGAGACGCGUCUCCGGAUGAGUGUACCCGAAGAAAAAGCAUCGGCUACCCCCGUGCCAGCAGCCGCGGUAAUACGGAGGAUGCGAGCGUUAUCCGGGUUUAUUGGGUUUAAGGGGUGCGCAGGCGGGAGAUCAAGGCAGCGGUAAAAUGUCGGGGCUCAACCCCGGCCGGCCGUUGAAACUGGUUGUCUAGAGUUGGAGAGAGGUAUGCGGAAUUCGUGGGGUAGCGGUGAAAUGCAUAGAUAGCACGAAGAACUCCGAUUGCGAAGGCAGCAUACCGGCUCCAUACUGACGCUGAGGCACGAAAGCGUGGGGAUCGAACAGGAUUAGAUACCCUAGUAGUC